UUAAUCCUUUUCUUGGAAUGGAAAGAAUCUAUCCUGUAUCACAGUCGCACACUGCUACAGGACGAAUAACCUUUACAGAACCAAAUAUUCAGAAUGUGCCAAGAGAUUUUGAAAUCAAAAUGCCAACACUAGUAGGAGAAAGCCCACCUUCUCAAGCUGUAGGCAAAGGCCUACUUCCCAUGGGCAGAGGAAAAUAUAAGAAGGGUUUCAGCGUGAAUCCUAGAUGCCAGGCACAGAUGGAGGAGAGAGCUGCAGACAGAGGAAUGCCAUUUUCAAUUAGCAUGCGACAUGCCUUUGUGCCUUUCCCAGAUUUGCUAUGGGAUCAUUUAUGGAAUGGGAGCUAAAUCUUUGGGAGAGCAGAUGGGCAUUAAAGAAAAUGAUGCUGCAUGCUAUAUUGACUCCUUCAAAUCCAGAUACACAGGGAUUAAUCAAUUCAUGACAGAGACAGUGAAGAAUUGUAAAAGAGACGGAUUUGUUCAGACCAUUUUGGGAAGGCGUAGAUAUUUGCCAGGAAUCAAAGACAAC
rnacentral:lncRNA from 1 species